AUUGAGUGUUCCCCCCCCCCACCCCAACCUAGAUAUGCCACUGCUAAGAUGCACACUGGUAGACACUUAACUUCCAUGUCCUGGGGCCUGGGUAUUAUUGUACCUACAGAUAACCAGGAUAGUGCCAUAGGAAGCUAAAAAAUGACUUUCUAUGCAACCUGCCUUAUCUUGUGGGUCGUAUGUCUAAUGCAGUAAUUUUUGGUAUGUGUUCUGGUUUUCAACUGACGGGGAGUUUGAACCCCGGGACUAGCCGUAUGACGUCACUACAUGACUAAUCCCGGGUUGGCUGCACUUACAAUCCUUGGUGACAGACUGCUAUGUAAAGGUGACAUAAUGGGCAACCAAUCACCAGUUCAGCAGCACUUCAAACACUGAACAAUGUCAAUGGAAAUAUUUUUGUCCCGAUUGACCUCUUGCUCCCGCUAGAUAUAUCAAUGUCGCUUAUUAUAAUUGUGCUAUCGGCAAAAUUUUAUUUUUAUUUUGGUUGUUGCGUUAAAAUCAACUGAUUUUGAAAUAAUCAGCCCUAUUUAUAAAGCAUGAGUACUUUAUUUUUGUAUCCCCCAGAAAUGACAUAAGCAAUCAGUUAUUUGUUCAUGAUGAUACAAAUGAUGAUGUUGGUAAAAGAUCCAUUUAUGCAGGCCAAAUAAAAAAAUAUCUUUUAAUGAGCUAACAACGGACUCCAGAACAGCAAUAGUCUAAACCUGACCACCUCCUGAAUUCAUGUACCAGAUUGUCCAGUCCAGCUUAUUGUCUGCUUUCAUAUGUAUAACAUUCAUUUUGUUGUUUAUUUCAGAAGUUUGGCCUGCAGGUUGAUUAUAGAUGUGAUUAUUGGACUUGUGUUUAAAGGGAGUUGAUGGCAUUGGCACCUGACCACAUCUAUAAAUGAACCUGCAAUCUUGAGAAUAUCUGAUAUCUGAGAGCAAUAAAGGUUUUUCCAUAACCUGAUGACAUGACAAGCUUCAGUUCUAUAUGAAGUGCAGACUGUUGUAUGAGGAGGUGUGAUGGUGUGAAUUCUACCAUGACGAUGCAACUCGAUCACAAACUAUUACCUCAACAAUAGCACCAAGUUACUUGGGGGAUGUGGAAUGAAUAUUGUGAUGACCAGCAAAGUUACCAAUCACUAAUGUCAGCAGGGAGCAGGAUUAUAUAACUCGCAAUGAUAGGGAAUGAUUAUGUAGCUUGUUGUGUUAGACUGUAAAAUUACAGCAGUAUUGCACUUAAUCAUUUAAUUAGUUACAUAUUUUGUAAUAUAAAAAUAUUUCAGUUUAAUUUAUAUUGUGUAAUUUUUUUUAUGUUUCAGUUAUUCAUUAUAUUGAGUUUAUUCAUUAUAUUGAGAAUUAUAUAUAUAAUUAUAUUAUCAAAAUUUCAAAAUAUGUGGCACACUAGCCAAGCCUGUCACUCCUUAGUUAUUAAUUCAGGGUUAAGAACGAAAGAUAUAUAUACGGUAAAAUAAAUGUAUUUGAGAAACUAGCCCAGAUUAGCCAAAUAGCCAAAUCCUAAUGAAAUCUGAAUUUUGCUAAAUAUUUUCAUUCCAAAGUAGGCAAAAAGCUAAUGGAACUGAAGCUCUCAUUGCUUAUAUUUUUUCUUUUGGGCUAAUCAAAUUUCUAUUUGGCUAAUUAUUUUCAUAUACCAAAUUAGCCAAAUUGCUAAAUAUUCAAUCAUUAGAAGUUAGGCUUUAUAGGGAAAAAAUCUGUAUCUCAUUAACCGUUAACAAGUUUUUCAUCAAACACCCUUUUUGUGUCUUAGAAAAAUAACUUAUCAAAAAAAAAAAAAGUUAAAAGUAUUUUGCAAGGCAAGGAAUACUGUAGUUGGGCUAUGGGAUGAGGGGCAUGUUUCAUUUCAGAAUGGUUAAAGCAAUGUCAUAGGAAAGAACAUUUGAAACAUUGCGUACAUAUAAGUAACUUUAUUUAAUAAAAACGACAAAUGUUUCAAAUAACAGACAGCAAAAAGCAGCCCUAUGUAUUCUGCACAUUUUUUAAGGUUACACAAAAUAACUCAUUCUUUGGUAAUUGUAAAAUGAAGAUAUGAUGUUACUAUUGUUUGCUAGUUGUCAUUACCAAGUGAUCAAAUUAAUAUUCUGAUACCAUUUACUGUCAUAAUGCUAGUCAUACAUUUACAAACUUGGAAUUAAAGGAAAGAAAUGAAUGACAAAUCUAAGAAACAAUGGUACGGGAGUAAAUAAAUUUUUCACAUAUUAACUGGUUUAAUUUUAAUUCUUGAUGACUAUUAUUAGUUUAUCUAAUUCAUAUAAAGUAUUCUUGCAACACAUAUUUUGAACAAGACAUUACAAUAGGAGUGGGAGGUGGGGUUUCUAAGAGAAA